ensembl:lncRNA
CACAGUCAACCACCCCUUGAGUACAUAAUUACCGUAUUUAAUUUAAAUAAAUAACUUACAUAAUGAUAACACCUUAAAACGAUGUGUUGCGAUCAUCAAAAUAGUCUGAAUACACAAUAUUAAUAAAUGAAUUAUACAGAUGUGUAUUUUCAUAAAAGUCAAGGAAUAAAUCUACUGAUAAAAGUAGUAAAAUGAUGAGUAGUUUGUCUUAAGGACAGAUCCCGGUUGUCCCUGUUACAGGUCCUGUUUGUCUUAAGGACAGAUCCUGUUUGUCCCUGUUACAGGUCCUGUUUGUCCCUGUUACAGGUCCUGUUUGUCUUAAGGACAGAUCCUGUUGUCCCUGUUACAGGUCCUGUUGUCCCUGUUACAGGUCCUGUUUGUCUUAAGGACAGGUCCUGUUUGUCCCUGUUACAGGUCCUGUUUGUCUUAAGGACAGAUCCUGUUUGUCCCUGUUACAGGUCCUGUUUGUUUUAAGGACAGAUCCUGUUGUCCCUGUUACAGGUCCUGUUUGUUUUAAGGACAGAUCCUGUUGUCCCUGUUACAGGUCCUGUUUGUCCCUGUUACAGGUCCUGUUUGUCUUAAGGACAGAUCCUGUUGUCCCUGUUACAGGUCCUGUUUGUCUUAAGGACAGAUCCUGUUUGUCCCUGUUACAGAUCCUGUUUGUCCUGUUUGUCCCUGUUACAGGUCCAGUUUGUCCCUGUUACAUUCGCAACCUGGAACCCAUUUCCAUCAUGGCCACCUAAUCAUCCCCCUCAUUCCUAAUCGGCAGCCAUUUUGUGCCAGAACGCUCACCACACAUCAGCUAGCAUGGUGGAGAGGUGAAAUGAUAUGA